GACUUUUGGGAAAAAGAUGGAGCAAGGCUUUGGAAGACCGAAGAAGCUCGAUAGAACUCUCUUCUCCCCUGAUCUCACGGAUAAGGAAGCUCGAUAGAACAACAAGGUCUUGGGAAGACCUGUGUUUCAUUGAAAAUAGGAGAGGAAAAUGGGAGAGCAGUCUAGAGUGGGCGCGCAGGUGAUCAGAGGGUAGCGAAGCUAGACCUUUUUCUUCACGCAGCGGGGUUAGAUGGCCGGGGCAUCCAGUAACAGAGUGUUCGGUGAGCUUUCUGCCUUCCAUGCUUUUUCUUCUUUCCACGUCUUCUUAGUGCCCAUUUUAGCAUAUUUAGAUGCCAUUUAGCCCUUAGGCAUCCCCUUGAGCACUUCAAGCAUUUUUGCAUUUCUUUGCAUCUUCAACACUUAAAUAGCACUUUUGGUGCUUUUUAAGCAUUUUUGGCACUUUUUGCAUAUUUUAAGUGCCUUUUAAACAUUUAAAGUGCUUUAUGAGCAUUUAAAGUGCCUUUUAAGCAUUUUAAGUACUUUUUUAUAGCAUUUUAAAUGCCUUUUAAGCACUUUUUGAGCAUUUUAAAUGCCUGUUAAGCAUUUUGAUGCCCUUAAGAGUGCUUUAACACUUUUUGGGCACUUUUAAUGCUUUUGAAGGACCUUUGUAUGGAUUUCACCUGACGAAUAAGGGGCUCUGUCGGGGUUCGUUUGGCUUGGGUAUGUCCAACAGUUCAGUUUCCGUGAGCAUCCUUUGGGGUGCCGUGGAUCAGUCAGGCACCUUUUUUGUCAAAAAGUCCAGUUUACAGGGGAGAUGUUGCCGAAGUUUUGCUAGGCCCUGUGUCUUCUUUUCUUUGAUUUCUCUCUGGGUUUUUGUGCACCCUUGACCUUGUUUUCCUCAUGCCAUUUCCAAUGAUGUGCACCUGGUCAAGAAUCUCCUCAAAUUGGGCGACCUUGGGAUUGCCACCUUUACAGGUGUUAGUUUGGUAAGAAGGGAGCCCAUAUGGCUCACAAAGCCUGCUCGUGCCCUGGAAUGGCUUUUAAGUGUUACCUUUGCUAGUGAGACUGCCCGCAUUCACGUUCGCGAGACUGAUGAUGGGGAGUUUAUAGUUUGAGAAGAGGGAAUUCCAAUAUUUCAUAUUUUGCACCAUGAUGGGGAGUUUAUAGUUUGAGAAGAGGGAAUUCCAAUAUUUCAUAUUUUGCACCGUGACCUGGACUCCAGUGAGGAUCUCCCCACCCUUGGGAAACGAAUGGCUAAAAUGAAGGAGUUAAUUUGGUCCCCUCAUGUGCUUAGAAUGCAGGGGGAGCAUCAAUUCAUAAAGGGGUAUAGCCCUUGGACCCAUGAAAUUCUUCAUGUUUAUGAGGACGAGCUCAAGCUCGCCUCUUUGCUAGCAGCAGUGCAGAAUUCCGUUGGGUACUUCGGCCGCUGCCCGAACACCAUGAGGGCCCUCUUAGUGACUUGGAGCCAUGUUAGCAACUCAUGGCUCUUUGGCCACGGUGAGGGCGGGAUUUCCUUGCUAGACCUACACUUUAUCGGGGGUCUGUCGCUGAUGGGGGCUAUGUAUGACGAAUUCAUCCCCCACAAUUUAGGCAGCUUCGGUAGAAAAUCAUUGGGGUGUGAGGUACCCCCUCCCGGCCUUCGAGAGACGUUCAAAAUCUACCAGCUUCUCAGUUUACAAGCAGUGAUGAUCAAGUGAACUUCUGCCGCCGGAUUAGGUUUUUCUUCGGGGAACACACAUGUUACUGAGUUAGAGAAUUGCGUUCUAGGAGUCAAGGGCAAGGAAAGGGCGGAAGUGUCCUGUGCCACUUUCAUAUGCCGGUCUGCGAAGGACAAUGUAUAUCUUGCUGCGUAUCUAGCCCUCUUCAUAUGCAAGUUCGGCCUCCCUGGCUCGAGCGACGUGAUUCGAUCGGGUUGCUUCUUUGCAUCCUGUGACAUGGCAUGAGGACGCCAGUAUGCCCUAACACAACCAAUAUUGUGCAAUAUUUACUACGGCCUAGGGGCAAUUUCUUGAGGCAAGUCGUUCAAGGGGGGAGAUGGACCCAGGUUGGCAAGAGGAGAAGCCUUCUCAGGGAAUUUUAAGACAACGUUCCCAGCUCAUUGCUUGUUUAGCUGGCUUUCUGCGUACUUCCCCAGUAUAUACGCGACAAAUGAUGCUCUAUCUGGAGCUAUGUGGCCCCAACUUGUGAAGAUCGUAAGGCAAAAGGCCCAGUUCCAUACCCCUGGUCAUGAGUGAAGCUUAUUUGGCAGUGACUCUUUCUUCACACGUCGUAACCCAUUUCCCAUAGGUGGCUGCACUGAUCGUGCCUUUGCCGACUAGCUGAGCCAUGAGUUGGACUGUGCCUCUACUAGCAUCCCUAAGCUGAUGUUUCUUUUAAGCGUAACAGGAGGUAUCCUGCCUUUCAGAACACCGUUUGGCUCGAAGCUUGAAGCAUACUACCCUCAUCAUUUUGCUCGUCAACAUGGGCUAGACCAGGGAUGCCCAUUCCAUAUAUUGUUCAAGAUGCAGUAUGAGAAAGAGGGUUCUAAGAGGAAGAAGGAUGACCUGGGGACCUACUGCGAAUCCUGGAAGGAAAUACAUGUGAGGACGACCUGAGCGACUUGUCUAGACCGUAUCAAGUUGAAUAAAUUCAUCGUCCCUUAUUAUGGCAUGAUAGGCAUGUCACACUCCAUGUUCUCUAACAUUCUUGAGGUGCAACCGACUAUUAUUAUAUUAUAUGUAUAGGACAAAUUUAAAUUUAUAUCAGUAUAUUCACACUAAAACAUAUUUUUCCAUUUUUUUUUUAUCGUGAAUAAAAUCUAGGAAGUGCUUUUCAUUAAAUGUCUCUCGAAAUGCUUCCUAAGUCAAGGAUUUAUUUUCUAGGACCAAAACUCUUUUUUGCCAUCUGUUACCAAUGUUCUGUUACACCUUUCAAAUAAAAACUGCCAAGGUGACCUUAUCAUAAGGACAUUCCAUUAUUGCAAAUAUUUUCUCCAAUUGCAUGAUUCAUCGUUCGACUUCUAGUGGAUCCGUAACACCCUUAAAGGAAGGUACAUCGUUCGAUACACCCACCAUUUCCUGUAACUAACCGUCUAGGUGGAUUGUUGUUCUCCAUUUAACGUUGCAUAAGAGUAACCCUAUUCUCCAUGCUCUAUGGUUUCAUACAAUAAGUAUGAUUUAGAGUAUAUUUCUGUUCCGAUUUCCUAAGAUCCUAAACCUAUUGCUCUUAUACCAUUUUGUCACACCUUAAGUUUUCUAACAUUCUUGAGUUGCAACAGACUAUUCUUAUACAAAUGUACAAGUAGGAAUUUUGAAUUUGUUCUGUACAUAUAUAGUAAAAGAAUAGUCUGUCGCAUCUCAAAAAUGUUAGAAAACUUGGGGUGUGACAUGGCGAAUCACCAAUAGCUGGUAUUGGCAAGUGGAUCAUCCUUGAAAAGGGGAGAAUAACACUUUGUGCCGUGAUGCCAAGCAGGGCAAGAACUUUGUACCACUUGCAUUUGAGAAGCUCUUUGAGUUAGAAUAUACUCGAGACUGGGAGCAAUUUGGGUUGCCCCUGACGAUGGCAAUGGAUGAGGAGUCACCACAGGUUCUUGCUCUUAAAGAAAGAAUGGGGACCCUCUUCGAUGACCUUUGUUCUAUCUUUGAAUGGAAACAAGGCCAGAAGGUUGGCAGUCGAGAGGGGCACCCCAUUCAGGAUUAUAAUGCCCUUAUUGGCAGUGGUCCCCAUUCAGCCCCUGAUGCUAGUUUUUGAUAUGACCAUACUUCAGAGAGGCUCGAGCCACCUCAAAGAGAGAAGAAAAAGAGGAAGAAGCUAGUGAACUCAGAUGUUUUUGAGUCAGAGCCUGGACAUGAGCCUUCUUCUCGACCUAAGAGUGAUAGGUUGACCAAAUCAGCUUCUGGAUCCCAGCCCAUAAUUAGUUCUCCUUACCCAGCCUCGUCUGAGUCUGGAGAUGUGGCUACGGAUGCCGCGGGGGCCCCUAAUCUUGCCAGUAUUCCUUCUGUAUCAGAGAGCAUUCAUUCAACCUUGCAUUCGGUGCAAGAGCCAACACCAGUUGCACCUUUGUCCUCUAGGAGGGUUAGCUUUGACUGGCUUCUUGUUCUUGGGAGAGCAGCCCUCUUCCAGUGAUGGAGAUGACUUGCACGGCUAGCGGGGCCACUGAUGGGGCACGAACAUCAUCCCAGAGGAAGAUCUUAACAUCAUUGUGAUGCCCGAGCAACCCGUGGUGGCUCCUCAUUUUGAUAACCGAUGUAGUGGAGGCCUUGGUUUUUAUGUCGUUAGACGUCGAGUCUUGCUCGGAGCCGAAAGGGUCUUUUAGUGUGGGCCUUGUCGACGCCCCCCCAGAUAUGGUCGCCGCCCUUACCAUGGUCGCUUCAACUGAAGUGACUUCGACCCCGAUUUCAUCAACGAUCAGCCUGCUUUCUAGCGCAAAGUCUGCCAUGGUCAUAGGCAUGCUACGGUGAGGUCUCCAAUUAUUGAAGGGGCGGCUUGGCCCCAAGAUUGCUAACCUUCAUGGCUGUGCUACUCUGAGCAUUUUAGACUGCGAGAAGGAAGUCUUUACUCAUUUUGAAAAUCUGUUAUGUGAGCUAGAGAGUUGGCAAGUAGAGGCUUUGAGAGAAGAGUCAGAGGCAAGCGAGCUACAGGGUGCUCAACUGGCCCCUUUGGAGGCCUUGCUUGAGCAGCAUCGCCAACAAUUUGAUGUAUGUAUUAAAAGGAAGGCUACUCUAAUAGCUAAAAAAUAUGCCUUCAUUAAGCAAGGGACAUCCCAUUUGACCAAGAUGAGGGUCUUGAAGGUGGAAAUAGUUAGGAUGACAAAAGAGUACAAUGAGCUGGACAGACAGGUGAACCAGUGGAGAGCAGAGAACCAGUGUUGUCCAAUGAGCUGACCAGACUCAGUCGCAACAUUGACGCUCAGACUACCUCUGUGUCAUGGGUCGCCCAAGCAGUGACUGAUCUUAGUGGACGUGCGCAACAGGCUAUUGUGCGCUCCGAGGCGGCAAGAGUAAAGAUCAGUGAGGUUGUUGAUCAUUUCUGAGGGCUCUCUUCUUCUCACCCUUCUUUUACUGCUUUUUUGCUCUUGUACAUGGAUGUUGACAGGAUGUAUGGAAUGAAAUACCACUUUUUUGUUUA